UUCCAGACUCCUACGGGAGGCAGCAGUGGGGAAUCUUGCGCAAUGGGCGGAAGCCUGACGCAGCGACGCCGCGUGCGGGACGAAGGCCUUCGGGUCGUAAACCGCUUUCAGCAGGGACGAGGCCCUCACGGUGACGGUACCUGCAGAAGAAGCCCCGGCUAACUACGUGCCAGCAGCCGCGGUAAUACGUAGGGGGCGAGCGUUAUCCGGAUUUAUUGGGUUUAAAGGGUGCGUAGGCGGAUUUUUAAGUCAGCGGUAAAAUGUCCGGGCUCAACCCGGGCCGGCCGUUGAAACUGGGGAUCUUGAGUGGGCGAGAAGUAUGCGGAAUGCGUGGUGUAGCGGUGAAAUGCAUAGAUAUCACGCAGAACUCCGAUUGCGAAGGCAGCAUACCGGCGCCCGACUGACGCUGAGGCACGAAAGCGUGGGGAUCGAACAGGAUUAGAUACCCCUGUAAG
rnacentral:rRNA from 1 species